rnacentral:tRNA from 1 species
GUUUAGGUAGCUCAGUGGUAGAGCACAUGCGAGGCCCUGGGUUCGAUCCUCAGCACCAAAUA